rnacentral:rRNA from 2 species
AAAUUGAAGAGUUUGAUCAUGGCUCAGAUUGAACGCUGGCGGCAGGCCUAACACAUGCAAGUCGAACGGUAACAGGAAGCAGCUUGCUGCUUCGCUGACGAGUGGCGGACGGGUGAGUAAUGUCUGGGAAACUGCCUGAUGGAGGGGGAUAACUACUGGAAACGGUGGCUAAU